rnacentral:rRNA from 1 species
GUGGCGAACGGGUGAGUAACACGUGGGUGAUCUGCCCUGCACUUCGGGAUAAGCCCGGGAAACUGGGUCUAAUACCGGAUAGGACUGCGCGGUGCAUGCCGUGUGGUGGAAAGAUUUAUCGGUGCAGGAUGGGCCCGCGGCCUAUCAGCUUGUUGGUGGGGUAAUGGCCUACCAAGGCGACGACGGGUAGCCGGCCUGAGAGGGCGACCGGCCACACUGGGACUGAGACACGGCCCAGACUCCUACGGGAGGCAGCAGUGGGGAAUAUUGCACAAUGGGCGCAAGCCUGAUGCAGCGACGCCGCGUGAGGGAUGACGGCCUUCGGGUUGUAAACCUCUUUCAGCAGGGACGAAGCGCAAGUGACGGUACCUGCAGAAGAAGCACCGGCCAACUACGUGCCAGCAGCCGCGGUAAUACGUAGGGUGCAAGCGUUGUCCGGAAUUACUGGGCGUAAAGAGCUCGUAGGCGGUUUGUCGCGUCGUCUGUGAAAACCAGCAGCUCAACUGUUGGCUUGCAGGCGAUACGGGCAGACUUGAGUAUUUCAGGGGAGACUGGAAUUCCUGGUGUAGCGGUGAAAUGCGCAGAUAUCAGGAGGAACACCGGUGGCGAAGGCGGGUCUCUGGGAAAUAACUGACGCUGAGGAGCGAAAGCGUGGGGAGCGAA